UAAAAGUUUGUUGCAAGUACAAAUUAACAGUUUGUCUGUGUAGUAAGAAACACGCAAGGCUGGAGUUAUACAUUGGUAUCUAAAGUACUAUGUUUUCUUUUGGAAGGUGAAGGUAUGAAGAAGACAGGAAUCUUGGGCACUGGUGCACAAUCUCAUGGCUGGAGACCUCCAAGAAAAAAAUAGUGAGAUCAAUUACACAGCGGUAAAACAUCUUCUGUGGGUCUGUGGCAACUACAACCUGAGAGAGACUAUUCAGGCCAAGGCAAAAGACAAGGAAGCAGAAAAGGUCAAUAUGAGGGAGAUGCCAACAUCCCUGGAUAGUGACUCAGACGUGCUCUCCAAUGGUGUGAUGACUUUACCUCUCGGUAGGACAGAAGUACAAGAAGGAUGGGAACCUUUGGUAGAGGUGGGACAUCGCUGGAGACCUUCAAUCAGAAAGGGAGAUGUAUGACAGAGCAGCAUAAUGGCUACUGUGGGUCCGUCACUGUCAAACGCACACUGGGAGAGAAUAUUGAUGCCAGCAUUAAAGAUGGUAGAAUGGGACUCCCUCAGCAACUGGUGCAACAUCCCAGGGCAGGUAAUUAUCUUCUAUCCAUAGAGGCUCAUGGGAGGUUUCCAUAGGGCUGAACCCCCACAUCUCCUUACUGGGGUCCCACUUAUCUAAGCAGCAUGUAAACAUGUGCUGAACUUGCAGCCAAUCACUAUCAGGAUAUAAACAUAUAACGUGAUUGGCUGUAAACUCACUUUUUUAUUUUCUGGGAUCAGAGGUGAGCGGAGCAUUGAUACACGGGGGCAUUAAGGGAAAUAAUGGCAGAAAUGAAGGAAUUGACUAUCUGAGUGUGACACUGGCUAGUGCCUGGGAUAUUAGCCUGGCUUUUGUGUAUAUUCUAAUAGAAAAUAUCAUUAUGGGAGGAAUGGGGAAACAGGCAGACUACAGACAACUCAGGAUAAAUACACAGAAGUACAUCCUGGCAUUUGGCCGCACGACUAACUGACAGUUAAAUAACGGAUUUCUCACUUUCAUUUCUGGGAUCAGAGAAAAUAUCAUUAUGGGAGG